rnacentral:tRNA from 1 species
GGCGGAGUACCUCAGUUGGUUAGAGGAACCGGCUCAUACCCGGUGCGUCGGCAGUUCGAGUCUGCCCUCCGCUACCA